rnacentral:rRNA from 1 species
GACGAACGCUGGCGGCGUGCUUAACACAUGCAAGUCGAACGGAAAGGCCCUGCUUUUGUGGGGUGCUCGAGUGGCGAACGGGUGAGUAACACGUGAGUAACCUGCCCUUGACUUUGGGAUAACUUCAGGAAACUGGGGCUAAUACCGGAUAGGAGCUCCUGCUGCAUGGUGGGGGUUGGAAAGUUUCGGCGGUUGGGGAUGGACUCGCGGCUUAUCAGCUUGUUGGUGGGGUAGUGGCUUACCAAGGCUUUGACGGGUAGCCGGCCUGAGAGGGUGACCGGCCACAUUGGGACUGAGGUACGGCCCAGACUCCUACGGGAGGCAGCAGUGGGGAAUAUUGCACAAUGGGCGGAAGCCUGAUGCAGCAACGCCGCGUGCGGGAUGACGGCCUUCGGGUUGUAAACCGCUUUCGCCUGUGACGAAGCGUGAGUGACGGUAAUGGGUAAAGAAGCACCGGCUAACUACGUGCCAGCAGCCGCGGUGAUACGUAGGGUGCGAGCGUUGUCCGGAUUUAUUGGGCGUAAAGGGCUCGUAGGUGGUUGAUCGCGUCGGAAGUGUAAUCUUGGGGCUUAACCCUGAGCGUGCUUUCGAUACGGGUUGACUUGAGGAAGGUAGGGGAGAAUGGAAUUCCUGGUGGAGCGGUGGAAUGCGCAGAUAUCAGGAGGAACACCAGUGGCGAAGGCGGUUCUCUGGGCCUUUCCUGACGCUGAGGAGCGAAAGCGUGGGGAGCGAACAGGCUUAGAUACCCUGGUAGUCCACGCUGUAAACGGUGGGUACUAGGUGUGGGGUCCAUUCCACGGGUUCCGUGCCGUAGCUAACGCUUUAAGUACCCCGCCUGGGGAGUACGGCCGCAAGGCUAAAACUCAAAGGAAUUGACGGAGCCCCGCACAAGCGGCGGAGCAUGCGGAUUAAUUCGAUGCAACGCGUAGAACCUUACCUGGGUUUGACAUGGAUCGGGAGUGCUCAGAGAUGGGUGUGCCUCUUUUGGGGUCGGUUCACAGGUGGUGCAUGGCUGUCGUCAGCUCGUGUCGUGAGAUGUUGGGUUAAGUCCCGCAACGAGCGCAACCCUUGUUCACUGUUGCCAGCACGUUAUGGUGGGGACUCAGUGGAGACCGCCGGGGUCAACUCGGAGGAAGGUGGGGAUGACGUCAAGUCAUCAUGCCCCUUAUGUCCAGGGCUUCACGCAUGCUACAAUGGCUGGUACAGAGAGUGGCGAGCCUGUGAGGGUGAGCGAAUCUCGGAAAGCCGGUCUCAGUUCGAAUUGGGGUCUGCAACUCGACCUCAUGAAGUCGGAGUCGCUAGUAAUCGCAGAUCAGCAACGCUGCGGUGAAUACGUUCCCGGG